UGGUCUCAGGACUACCUGGUGGUGACUGGUCUUCUUUGUUGAGCUUAGGACUACCUGGUGGUGACUGGUCUUCUUUGUUGGUCUUAGGACUACCUGGUGGCGGUGUCCCUGCAGCAGCAGCAGGGCGGGGCCCCGGGGCCCCUCAGUGACCUGGAGUUGGCCCGACAGCUCCAACAGGAGGAAUACCAGCAACAGCAGCAACUCCAACAACUACAACCACAACCACAACCACAACAACAACAACAACCGGGAUCACUGCAGGCAGCACAACAAGUCAGAGGUCAGGGGUCACAGCAGGGCGGAGCCAGGAGGAGAGAGAAGGACUCAGACUGUGUCGUCCUAUAAACUCUUCAUCAUCAUCAUCAUCAUCAUCAUCAUCAUCAUCUAUGAUCAACCAACCAAACUCCACGAGGGAGGAGGUCACACACACACACUCAGCUCGAUGCCAAACCCCAGUGCUUUGUUGUUGAACAGUUGGUUUUAGACGUGAUUCUAAUGUUUGUAGAGAUGUGAUGAAUGAAAGAGGAGUCUGGAGUAAACUGUCUAAUGAAGGGUUAAUAAGUUCUAACAGCUUUAUUAAUGGCCAAUAAAUGAUUCACUGAAGCUUAACGGAUCGGCUGUAAACCGUCGAUAACAAGUUUAGAGCUGAAACAAUAAAACUACGAGCUGUUUGUUUGAGCGUCCUCACUGAGGGCAAGUCCUGUCACUUUAGUCAUUAAUAAGAUAAUUAGAUAUCAAUCCUGCAGGUUUAAAGGUUAAUGAAGUCAUUCAUACAUAUUAUAAAAUGUCCAAUUGAUCUAAACGGUUAAAACGACUGAAGGAUGAUUAAUAAUAAUAAUAAUAAUAGUGUGUUAUAACUGAUCUUUAAAGGAAGUUCUGUUAUUAAAGCUGUUAUAUACACAAAUAUGUAUAUAUAUAUAGGUGUUAUAACUGAUCUAUAAAGGAAGCUGUUCUCUGUUAUUACAGCUGUUAGUGGCAUCGUUCUCAGAGAGCGAUAUCUUGUCCAUAAGGAGGGAACCCGGUGAAGAAUCCGUUAACUGAAUCUUUAUCUUCUUGUGACGAGUUUCAGCAGAAGAGUUCUCCUUCCUGUUUCACUUCUAAAUGUCCGAAUAUUUACCGAACUUUAAACCGUUAGAUACACAGACGUGAGUCUGUUCAGCUUUAUACUCAUUUCUGUUUUCCAGCAGGUUUUUAUUUUUAUUUGUUUUACAUUUAAUCCUCAUCUGAUUUCAAGCUGUUGUGUUUAAAACAUGUGAUCAGAUUUAUUGGUUAUUGGUAUUUAAACUACACAAAACUCAGUUUAUUUACAGACUUGUAGAAUAAGAGAAACAAACAGCAAAGAGAACUUCACUUUGAUGUAGUUACAUGUAAUUCUAAAUGAAUUAAAAGGUUUAAUUACGCCAAGUGUUUUUCCUUCUUCACCAAAACAGUUUAAUAAAAACAUUAAUAUUUAAUAACAAAAUCCCAAGAUAUACAUUUAAAAAUAAAUUAACGUCUGAUUACGACUCGUCUCUCAGGUUCGAUCCUUCUGUUCACUGCAGAGAUUGUUGUUAUCAUUAUCUUCAUCUUGUAUGGAAGCCCGAAGAUGUCAGGAAAAUAAGAGAGGAAAUGUUAAACAUGAAAAUACUUACAAGUUUUAUAGUCUUGUCCCGAGUCAACAUGUUGACUCAUAUUAAGUCUUAAAUAUGAAAUAUAAAGUGCAACAUGUUGACCGAGUGCCUUUAAAAAGUCUAAAUGUACUCACGUCAUAGUUUUGUCCUGAAUCAAUAUUUUGAGUUACUAAGUCAAAUAAUGUUGAUUUCAUUCACAUUCGUCUUCGCUCAUAUUUAUGACUUAAACCUAAAACAAUGUAAACCUUAUAAUUUAAACUAAUUAUUCAGCGAGUUACAUUUACGAUGGACUCUUCUGGGCUUCUGUACUUUUUAAAACCUGCUGCGGGAACAAAACUGAGGAGUGAAACCAGACAAAGUGACCUGAAAGCACAUGUUGGACUGAGACCACGUUGUACCUGUGCUCGUGAGACCUGAGGAGUCCUCAGGAGACCUGGUGAGACCUCUUAAACUGAAUAAUAAAAGUGUUGUUUUUUUCUCUAAUCAUUAAAACUUUCCCAUCAUGCAUCACUCUGUGUUUUCGGGGGCGUCGCCGGUACUUCCUGUUGUCGUCCGGUGUUUUUAAAACGCGUCUGUUGAAGCUUGUAUUUAAUUUGUCAUGAUGUCGAAUUAUCAGUAAAAACAAAAUCCAACUCA